AGAGUUUGAUCCUGGCUCAGAACGAACGCUGGCGGCAGGCUUAACACAUGCAAGUCGAACGCCCCGCAAGGGGAGUGGCAGACGGGUGAGUAACGCGUGGGAACGUACCCUAAGGUUCGGAACAACUCCGGGAAACUGGAGCUAAUACCGGAUGUGACCGAGAGGUGAAAGAUUUAUCGCCUUAGGAUCGGCCCGCGUUA
rnacentral:rRNA from 1 species